AUUCUAACACAUGCUUCCUACCACAGGUGACGUUGAGUUAGUUCACUUUUGAGCCUUCUUACAGGACCCGUUUCUCAGAACUCGACCUCAGACACAGGGGAAGCAACCCCAGAUCGUCAACCAUGAGAAGACCAACCCCCAGUGCUCCUCACUACAAGGAGAGAGAAAAGUGUCUCCCUGGAUGGUCAGCAGCCUCUGCUUCCUGGCCUUGGAGUCCCCAGUGGGGAGCAUCACGGGGAGGCCUGCACCCUGCCCUGAUGGAGAAUGCAAGGACCCUGCACGGAAGAACCCAAAUCCACAAGUCAACCCUCACGCCCUGAGGCAAGUGCUCCGUCCAGAAUUUCUCCAUGGCUCUCCGCACUUGAGGAAAGGAAAGAAGAAAAUCAAGGAUGCCUAAAAUACACCAAAAGCAUCUGUUGCUUAAAACUCUUUCAUUCUGCUGAUUAAAAAAUAAAUAAAUAAAAAGGAAUGAACUUCAGAAAAC
rnacentral:lncRNA from 1 species